AUUGAACGCUGGCGGCAGGCUUAACACAUGCAAGUCGAGCGGAGAUGAGGUGCUUGCACCUUAUCUUAGCGGCGGACGGGUGAGUAAUGCUUAGGAAUCUGCCUAUUAGUGGGGGACAACAUUCCGAAAGGAAUGCUAAUACCGCAUACGCCCUACGGGGGAAAGCAGGGGAUCUUCGGACCUUGCGCUAAUAGAUGAGCCUAAGUCGGAUUAGCUAGUUGGUGGGGUAAAGGCCUACCAAGGCGACGAUCUGUAGCGGGUCUGAGAGGAUGAUCCGCCACACGUGGACUGAGACACGGCCCAGACUCCUACGGGAGGCAGCAGUGGGGAAUAUUGGACAAUGGGCGGAAGCCUGAUCCAGCCAUGCCGCGUGUGUGAAGAAGGCCUUUUGGUUGUAAAGCACUUUAAGCGAGGAGGAGGCUACCUGGAUUAAUACUCUAGGAUAGUGGACGUUACUCGCAGAAUAAGCACCGGCUAACUCUGUGCCAGCCGCCGCCGUAAAAC
rnacentral:rRNA from 1 species